UCUCAAAUUAACUCGGAAUCGUGUGUAAUUGAUUUAUAAAUUGAAUAAUUUGUGAUGGGUUUGUUCUUGAUUGAAGUAUGGAUAGAUGUUUAGGGUUCACUUUUGGAUUUCACAGGAAAUUAGGGUCUUAGUUUUUCCCUAAAUUAGGAACUAGGGUUUUCUGUGUUCACAGGGAAUCAUGUGGAGAUUUCUUAGUUGGUGAAAAGCCUUGCUAAUGUUUCCUUUCCAUGUUCAAUCUGAUUUGUAAUGUUGACUUCUUUGGGCUUCUAUUGGAAUAUAUGACAAGGGUGGAGUGUUGGAGUAUUUCUAUCGAUCGGUCAUGUCAUAUAGGCCCGAGUCGGACAUCCAAUUGCUUCGAUUUGAAUUAUCCGGAGGAUACCUUAGAUAUAUCAAAAAGAUGUACAAUCAAACCUACUUCUCGAUUCAAUCUGAUUUGUAAUGUUGUAUAGGAGGUUUCCAUGUUCAAUAAUUUUGCUCUGCAGGAGAGCUAUUGAAGUUUGUGGGGGUUGAGCCGUGUACACAGUGACAAACCAUCUGAUGGAAGAUGUAAAGAAACAUGCAGACCAAUGUUUUCAGGGGGGAAGAGCAAAAGAAACUGGAUAUUCUUUGAAAUGAUGUAUUUGUUAAGGCUCUCUCUAUUCUAGUAAAGGGAAGAGGACGAAGAAGCAACUUUUGUGGAUCCAGCGUUGCGUGGAAGGAUGAUGGUUCCUUGGUGUCGAUAUAUUCACUUACGCGGAGUAAUGCUCAAGAUGGACAUUUAACUGCUGGCCGAAAGGGUAUCAAACGACUAUGAACGGUAAUACAUAUACACAUGUGGUUGGGGAAAACUGUGCCAUCUAAUAAAUUUUAUUGGAUGUUCUCACAGUCACAAAGGUUUCUCCUCUGAUUUAAAGCAAUUAUCAAGCAACAAGAUAUGCAUUGCCGGCCAUGCAUGAGUUUGUUUUACCCGAAAACUGUGUUUUGUUUAGUUACGUUAAAAAAAAUGCUUUUCAAACCUACUUCAAUGAAGUUUCUUUGUGGAAUGCUGAAAAUGGAAGCUGCCACCAGGUAUUAAGACUGGCCAACAGUGAUGGUGAAGCUGAAAUGUCUGACCUUCCCUGGGCUUUAUCGAGGCCUACAACCAAGUAAACUAGAUAUCAGACGACCAAAGUAUCGAAUUGAUGAGUUGACCGAGCCACCGUUCAAUGCUUCCUUUACCUGGUGGGGACUUGUUAACAGGAGGAACGGAUUCCAGGUCCUGAUCGUAGUUACUGGAUGCAUUUGUGGGCCAAUGUUGAAAGGAAUAAGAAAUGAGGACCUCGAUGAAACUAGAUCAAGUUUUGGGGUGCAGGAGAUCAACAAGAGUUCUCCAGCAACCAAAUUGACAACAAAAGCGCUAUUCUCAGCCGCUGCUACUGAUUCCACGGGUUGCCACCAUGACUCCAUCCUUCCUCUGGCUUCUGUGGAGUUGAAUCAGAGACUUGUUAUUUCAAGCAGUAGAGACGGAGCCAUCAAGGGAUCUAUCGAGCAAUAAUUUUUCAGGAAAGGUGUCAUUUUCUGUUGCUGAUCUUGAGCAUCUACUUACCUUGAUUCUAACUAAUGAUAGUUCUUAAGGGGAAAUUCCAUCUCAAUUGAUUUGGAAAUUGUACACUUAAAGCCUGGGAUUAUGUAGAACUUGAUCAAGAAUGCAACUAGUGUCUUAAGUAAGCUUCUAUAUAGUGUUUGAGAUGAACUUAAGAGUGAUUUAAGUGAGAAUGAACUGAACUUAGGAAGUUUCCAUGUAUUCCCUUAGAAUUUUUUUGGUAUUUAUAGAAUUUGUAUUCUUUUUUGGUAUGAAUCGAAUGAAUGUUGAUAUGAAUUGAAUGACGACGCUAUUCUUGAAUGUGGAUGAUUGAUGGAAUCAAAAGUGUAUGCAGGUAAGUUUGGAAUGUUGGCG